GUGCUUGUUUUGGCAGCACAUACACUAAAAUUGAAACAAUAUAGAGAAGAUCAGCAUGAUCCCUGUACAUGGAUGACACACAAAUUUGUGAGGUGUUCUAUAUUUCU
ensembl:snRNA U6 U6 spliceosomal RNA